GUGUUUUUAGUCAAAACAUCUUAUACCUACAUAUACAUUUUUGCAGCCAUUUUAUGAAAUAAAUCUUGUAGUUGGAAAUAAUUUACAAUGGCUGCCACUGAAUUUUAAUGUUUGUUUUUGAUAAUUAGAAAAAAAAUCUUCGAAUUAAAUAUUUGACAUUUAACAACCUUCCCUAAAUCUCUCCACAUUAACUACACAAUUAGUUACUAAAAUAAAACUUCCAAAAUAUUUAAUAUCAUUUAAUUACUACAAAAUUAUCAUUUUUAAUAUUGCUUUUCUCCAUGACUAUAACAAUUCGAUUAUAAUCAUCAAACCGCAGAGAUAUUUGAUAACAUUUAAUUACUACAAAAUUACAAUAUAUUUAGACAAUAAUUCAUAAACAUAUCAUAAAUAAGAUCAACAUUAAUUUAAAAAUAA
rnacentral:sRNA from 1 species